AUGAUGGAGAAACUUCUCCAGAUGGUGGAAGGUAUGCAUAUUGAGGAGGCGCCUUCCCGGUCGGGGCUCCAGCCGGAGCCCCCGAGAGCUCAGAAGCGGCCCCUCUCACCGCAGGCUGGCUUGAGCUCUCCUAAAAGGAAAGUUGUGCCUAGAAUGGUAGAGAACAAGCCGUUUGAGGCUGUGAUUUCUGUAGAUGAGAGUAAGGGAGAGGAGAGGAAAGAAACGGCAGGCAGCGGAUUAGAGCGGGAAGCCCCGCAAGCUGAUUCUGUCAAAGGGUUGCUAGAAAGCAAAAAUGAGAAUGUGCCGGUCGGUCUGGGUGACCAGGCUGAGAGGGCUGAGUUUGCCGGGGCAGGAUUAGCUCCGGCAGAGGCUAAGAUUGAGGCAACUGCGGUAGCCGAGAUGGUACCGAAUACGGGGGAGAAGGCGCCGAGUCUCUUGCCUUCCCAGGGCUUGGAAGCAAAAUCUGCUUCCGUAGAGAGCAUGCGUGAAGUUUCUGGGCUAGUCCCUGAGAGUGUGGAUGCUGACAUUAACCGAUCGCCUUCCCGGGCUUCUGACAAAGUAGGGGGACAACCUGUGGCAACUGAAAUGGUCACAGAGAAGGCGGAUACUGCCGCCGCUUUUUCGGCUUCUGAAGGCUCUGAUACAGCUGGGUUUGCUCCUGCCGAGGGCGAGAGCGACAUUGAAAUAGGGGGAAUGCAGGCGGAGGAGGGGCUUCCUUCCACAGGUCUGCCGGCUUCCCAGGGUCCUGACCCAAAAUCGGCUGAUGCGGAGGGGAAAGCUGGAGCCGCUGUUUUACCAUCUGAGGGGGCUGAUGUGAAAUAUGUUGUCCUGGAACGUGAUGCUGGGGGAAACCAAAUGUCUGAGGCAGUGGCUACUGCCCAGAAGGUUUUGUCUCUUGAAAGUGGGGAGAACAAACCUCUCUCUCCUGCAAGCAAGGAUAAGGUUUCUAAGGUGUUACCGGAAUGUGUUGACCCCAGUAUGAAAGUCUUGUUGGUUGAAAGUCGGGGCGGGGAAGGGAUUGUAUCCGAAAGUAAAGGGAUGGAUUCAUCUUUGUUGUCUGAGGCAGGGUCACCUGCUCAGGUUGUCUUGUCUGUUAAAUGUGUUAAGCCUGUAUGUAAGCCUCCCCCGGGGAGCCCAACCCUGGCCCCAGAAAUGAUAGCAGGAAGACUGUCGCCCACCCUCGCUGCCUUGUCGGCACCCCGUCCGGAGACCAGUGACAUGUCCCCGGAGAGCAAACAUGCUGUAAGCGGAAUGCUCUCUGAGAGGGGGUCUCCCACCUCAGACAUCCUGAACUCGGAGGGAUUAGAGGUUAGUUUAUCCCCAGACGGGAAACUGAUUGUGAGCGAGGUAUUACUGGAGACGGGGGCUCCCGGCUCCAGUAUGCUGGACUCAGAGGGUUUGGGCACCAAAUAUGUUACGGAAGACAGAAAGUCCACCAUUUCUGAUGAGAAGGGGUCCGUAACAUCUGGGGCAAGAUGCGCUACACCGGAGAGCAAACCGGGGGUCAGUGGGCUUUUUGUAAAGAUCGCCUCCCCAACGUCAUCCAUCCUGAACUCCGAGGGGCUGCCAGCGGGACGCGUUUUGGAAGAGAGGAAGCACGGAGAACUUGGGAUCAGCCCGGAGGGGGCUUCCGCAGCCCCCCACGAGGACUCCUCUAAAGGUUCCAAGUCCGGCUCCUCUUCGCCAGAGCGUAAGCCUGUCAUUAGCGAACUGUUAACCCUCUCACUACCAUUAAACGCCCCCCCUGCCGAAUGUUCAGAUUCCGACGGUGCCUCCCCAGAGAGGAAGCCUGUCGUCUCCAGAACAUUCCUGGGAAGACUUUCCCCUCCCAUUAGCAUUUCAUCGACAGAGUAUUCAGAUACAGAAUGUCCCUCCCCAGAAGGGGAGCCUUCAGGACCCCGUUCCUUUUCAGGCAGAUUGUCACCUCCCAUUAGUAUCUCUUCUACUGAAUAUUCUGAUGAGGAGUGUGCUUCCCCUGAAAGGAAGCCUUCCGUGCCUCCGGGCUUCAUAGAACUUCAGCCCAGAGCCAUCAGAAUUGCCCCCGCCAGCUACACCCCUCCCGACUACUUUUGCUCUGACCGAAAGCCGGUUGUAACUGGGCUUCUUCCUCUGCCCCUGCCCCUCCCCCUGCCCCUCCCCCUGCCUCUGCCUCUGCCUCUGCCCCUGCCCCAGCCCCAGCCCCAUCCCCAAAGGCGAUCUCCCAACCCCAGCGUUUCUUCCUAUGAGGGGUCUGACACGAGCUGGGCUUCUCCGGAGCGAAAGUCAGUGGUGAGGGGAAGGAUCUCGGGGAGAAUUUCUCCCGAGACCCUGGAGUUUGCCUCUGAGAGCUCUGAGGCGGGCUGCGCUUCCCCGGAGAGGAAGCCGGUCGUGGAGGACAUCUGUCCUGGCAGACUCUCUCCAGACUUAAGUAACUUAUCAUCGUCGGAGUGGUCUGAGGAGAAUAGCAGCGCUUCCCCGGAGAGGAAGCCGGUGGUCCCCAGAACCCUCCUGGGCCGCCUCUCGCCCCCCAUCAGUAUAUCAUCCACUGAAUAUUCAGACACCGAGUGCCCUUCCCCCGAGAGGAAGCCGGCAGGAAGCAGGAUCCCCGAGGGGGGGCUGUCCCCGCCUAUCAGUAUCUCCUCCACCGAGUACUCUGAUAGCGAGUGCCCCUCCCCCGAGAGGAAGCCCCUGGAGCCCGGGAUGUACUUAGGCAGGCUCUCGCCGCCCCUGAGUGUUUCCUCCACCGAAUACCCCCAUCUGGGGUGUUCUUCAGCGGAGAGGAAACCUGUGAUAAGUGGCCUCUUCUUGCCACCAGUGCCUCAGCGCCCCUCUGUACUGUCUGAUGUCCUGGAGAACAGAUGUGUCUCCCCAGAAAACAGGCCUGAGCCACUCUUGUCGGCCACGAGUGUGUUGUCCCCCGGGGGUCUGGAGACCCGAUGCGUCUCCCCAGAGAGCAAACCUACGACCAGUGGGGUGUUCUCAGAGGCUGCCUCUCCCGGCCCAAACGACCUGGCCGAGGAGGCUCUGGAAGAGAGAAGCGAGUUCUCGGAGACGCGCUGUGUCUCUCCUGGCGGCAAAGCACCAGGAAGUGGGGCGUUCUCGGAGACGCUGUCUCCACCUGCCAACAUCUUGUCCUCUGAAAGCUCAGAGACGACCUGUGCCGCCCCAGAGAGCAAGCCCACCGCCACCGGGCUGCUCUCGGAGACCCUGGCUCCACCCGCAAACAUCUUGGCCUCUGAAAGCGCCGAGACCCCCCCUGUCUCCACUGAGAGCAAGCCUCAAGGGGGCGUCUUCCCUGAAAGACUCUCCCCCCCCAUCAGCGGCUCUUCCACAGGGUCCACGAACUCUGCCACCUCGACCCAGAGCACCAAACCCGUGGUGAGCACUGUGCCCGCACAGGCCCUGCCCCCCCCCAUUAGCACUCCCUCCACCGAGUGUCCGGACACUGGCUUGUCUUCCCCCAAGAGGAAGCCCAUAAUCACCAGGCUGGAGGUGGAGGGAGACGCCCAGGUCACAGGCUUUGUCCCUUCCCUGUGCCACGAGACAAAACUGGCCCCAAGAAUGACUGGACUGGUCCCUGAAAGCGUAGCGGUGGGCGCCGGCGACUCUCAGAGCUCUGAGAGCAAGCCCGGGGCCUCCAGAGUCCUCCGAGAAAGCGCCCCUGCUGCGGCCGGCCUUUUGCCCCGUGCCCCUCCCAGCCCCAGAGGCCGCCCCACAGACAGCGGCCCCGUGGACGCUGUGUUUCCCUCCACGAGCCGCGGGGACACUGAACGCUAUCCCAGGAGCAGGUCUCCCUUCCCCGGCCUCUCCCCCUCCCAGAGGUCCGAACCCAGAAUGCCGCCUCCUGCGGCACCCCGAAUGCCGACCAACAUCGUGGAUCCUUCCUCGCUCCUGCCGGCUUCCCGGGCGUCGGGCCCAAGGCUUGCCUCCGCAGAGAGCACUCCCCGAGGAGUCUGGAAUGGCCUCCCAAGGACCGCGUCCCGCGCCAGGCGUCGUGCCCCCUCCGCGUCCGGAGUCAAGAGCCGCGUGCACAGAGAGGAUCUCCCCCACCGCAGGUAUUGGGGCUCUGCUGUAUUGCGAGACCGAAGAUGUUUCCGAUGGUGAACCCGGAGUUUCCGCAGAGUUCUCGGAGGGCAGCUCUCCCACCGCAGGUAUCGGGGCCCUGCUCUACUGUGAGACGGAAGACGUUUCCGAUGGGGAACCUGGGGUUUCCGGAGGGUUCUCGGAGACCAUCUCUCCCACCUCAG
ensembl:lncRNA